GACGAACGCUGGCGGCGUGCUUAACACAUGCAAGUCGAACGGAAAGGCCCUGCUUUUGUGGGGUGCUCGAGUGGCGAACGGGUGAGUAACACGUGAGUAACCUGCCCUUGACUUUGGGAUAACUUCAGGAAACUGGGGCUAAUACCGGAUAGGAGCUCCUGUUGCAUGGUGGGGGUUGGAAAGUUUCGGCGGUUGGGGAUGGACUCGCGGCUUAUCAGCUUGUUGGUGGGGUAGUGGCUUACCAAGGCUUUGACGGGUAGCCGGCCUGAGAGGGUGACCGGCCACAUUGGGACUGAGAUACGGCCCAGACUCCUACGGGAGGCAGCAGUGGGGAAUAUUGCACAAUGGGCGGAAGCCUGAUGCAGCAACGCCGCGUGCGGGAUGACGGCCUUCGGGUUGUAAACCGCUUUCGCCUGUGACAAAGCGUGAGUGACGGUAAUGGGUAAAGAAGCACCGGCUAACUACGUG
rnacentral:rRNA from 1 species